GGGAGUGGGGCUCAGUGGAAGAGCCUUUGCUUUGCGUGCAGAAGGUCCCAGGUUCAAUUUCUGGCAUCUCCA
rnacentral:tRNA from 1 species